GUUCUUUAGCAGCACAUAUAUUAAAAUUAGAAUGAUACAGCGAAGAUUAGCAUGGCCCCUGCUGCAAUGACACACAAAUUCAUGAAGCAUUCCAUAUUAAG
rnacentral:snRNA from 1 species